rnacentral:lncRNA from 1 species
CUUGGAACAGACAAUACAUGUUUGCAGAAAGCACAGAGUCCUACUUUGAGAAUGGCAGCUGGAAUCGUGGUUUUCUUUUCUGGUUUGUUGGAGCUGCGGAUUUGAAGCUAGAUCUCACACAAGAAGUGAGCAACAGUAAAGGACCCAGAUCCCCUCCCAUGCAGGGUGAUUUUAAUGAAGAAGAGAUAAUAAAGAGUCGACCGCAUCCCCAGAGAGAAUGAAAGGAUGCAGGGGAGAAACCACACCUACGAAACAAAAGGCGGCAAGGGAGCACGUCAAGAACACACACAAAGAAACCAAGACAGUGACGUCAGACCCGAAGACCCAGCAGAACUCUACAAACAGAGGAACCCAGACACAGAACCACACAUCCAGGAGGAGCCAGCUGACGAGAGAAAAGUGUUCUCUGAAGUGGACCUGGGGUAAGAGGCAAGAACGAAGCAGCGACAGUGGCAGCAGUGUCUGAAUUCCCAACGUGAUGCCUUUGGACCGCUUGAGAUGCAGAGUUUCUACAAGAACAUAAGGUCUGGAGGCCACAGAGCACACUUGCAUGCUCGAUGCUGUAGUCCCAGAUGAACCUAGCAGUUCAAAAAGUGUUAGCUGAGUGAAUAUUCAGCAGAGACCAGACUCGGGGUUCUUCCCUGUGUUUUGUGAAAUGUGCAGUGCCCAUUUGACCCCACGAUGAAGGUCUGGCUCCCUUUUGUCACUGAGCCAACAGCAUUUGCAUAGCUAAGGUCAUUUCCUUGAUCCACCACCCCUUCCAUCAGCUGGACCAGGUGAUAGAAGAACCCCAGAAACUUCUCUGUUCUUCACCACCCGUCUAUAAAGGUACAUGGCAUGCUGGGAUGUGUCUGUCUUUGUGGCAGGUCAAGGAACCCAGUGAUGCCUGUGAGCGUUGGUGCCCAGGACUCCUCCAAAAGACAUCAGGGAGAGAUGGUACAUGCUGGCUGGUGUGGGGGUGUGUGUGGGUGUCUUCGAUUUCUACCUCCCAUCCAAGCUCCCAGUUCUAGGUCCUUAGACCCUGUCCUGGUUUGCUCUGUUGCUGUGAUAAAACACUCGGACCAAAAGCAACUAGGGUUUGCUUUAUCUGUUUCUUCCAGGUCAAGAUCAGUCUCCAGGGACGUCAGGGCAGGAACUGAAGGCAGGAACCUGGAGGGCGAUGCCUACUGGCUCACUCUCUGGCUUGCUCACUGGCUUAUGCUCAGCUGGCUUUCUUAGUCAGCCCAGGACUACCCACCUAGGGAUGGUGCCGCCCUUAGUGGACUGCCCCACCCCCGCACCAAUUACUAAUCAAGAUGAUCUAGGUGAUUCCUUAAUUGGGACUUCCCUCAGAUGCCUCUAGGCUGGGUCAGUUUGACAAAAACUGACCAGGACAGAGCCCAUCACCAUGGGGUUUCCAAGAGUACCUUCAGACAAACACACAGGGCUACCUUCAUUCCAGGUGAUCCAAAUUCAGGGCAUGUUGGAAAGGCGGCAGCAGCCACAGGCUGAAUUAGAUGAGAUCCAGUUGCUGGGACUUUGCUGAAUCCUGAUGCUCCUUCCUCCCUGGUCUGUGACCAACUAUUCAGUAGGUGGGACACCUGAGUACCAAAGGUCACUCAAGCCAGUCGGAUAGAAUAACAGGUUCCUGUCUCUGUUUCCCAUUUAACCAGCAUUGGCUGAGUCCUGUAGGGCUGGGGUGGUCCUAAUCUUGACCUGAACCUCCUCAGCUCAGCUUCUCAAGAAAGGAAUGUUGUUGGGUCAGGAAGCAGUUUCUCUCAUCUGGCAUUUGCUUGGCAGUGUUCUUCCGAGUCCACAGAUGCUGCCCACCCCUGUAAAUACACAUCUCUUUCCCCAGUCCCAAAAGACAAACUCCACAAGUCCUAAGGACUGUAACUCUGUACCUCACUUCUUCCAGAGAGUCUUCCCUGUGUGCAUAUCACUAGUCUAUUUCAUCUUCCCGUAACACGACCUCCCCGACCCCCAAACUGGAUACAUCGUCGUCAUCGACAUCAUCAUCACCAUCAUCAUCGUCAUCACCAUCAUCACAAUAAUAAUAACAAAACAACAACAACAGUCAACCAUUUUUGGAAAGCCUAUAUUGGACAGACCCACCUGUUUGGCCUCUGGUAAGGGCUUCCUUGUCUCCAUCACUUCCCGGUAGAUGGCAUCAUGGGGGCGGGGACCAUGCAGAUGGGCAGGUCCAUGAUGAGACAUGAAGCCAGUGAGUAGACAGGAAGGAAACAGCUUGCUGUCACACAGCCAUCUGUUUGAAAGGACAGUCCCACAUGAGCAACUUUAACGUCUUCCAAGGGUCGACCCUCACAAUGACUUAGCCAAGCACCACCAGGCACCCAUCUCCCAACAGUCACACACUGGGGACCAAACUUCUCAUUCGAGAGGAAGAGAAGCUACAUGAUGGGAUUCAUGUAGUUGCAAGGAGUUGACAAGGAUUCCUUUGACUCUAUCAUCCUACCCUGUCAGGCACAAGAUGAACAAGAUGUGAUGGGACUUACCUCUGAGGUUGUAACCUAGGAAUAUCUAUGUAUAUAGUUUAUGGGAAGAGAGACAGAGACAGAGAGACAGAGACAGACAGAAAGAGGCCGAGAGAGACAGAGACAGAGAGAGACAGAGACAGAGAGAGACUGAGAGAGACUGAGUCAUGUUCCUUUUAGGUAACCCCUUCACCACCAGUUAAGUACAGUAAACCUAUUUAAGAGUGUCCCCCAGGAAGCAUAAACUCCAUUUCAUUGUGCCAUAUAAUCCCCUAUAAUGAGAAACCGGUAAUGAGGGUACCAAUGGCAGGUGCAAAAGGCAGCUUUACAUCAAUAGAACAUUCGAUUCUAAUUAAUCUCUUCACGGCCAACAUAAUUGAGUCAUCAUGGGGACCAUCGGACUCACCCCCACACCCCACCUCACAAUUGCGUUUGACAGCCCUGCCUCUGCUGCGUUAGGAUCCAUCAGGAAACAAAGGCGAACCCGGGCGAUAGCAUCUCAGGCCAUGUGGGGUUGCGGAAGAGUCUUUUUAUUUCUAUCACGGAGUUAUUAUGACAUGGAAGGCCCAUCGCCCCGAGCGGAGUCUCAGAGGCCUCCCCUCUGUAUGUAAAUAGCAUCCUGAUUUGUUAUUUAUUUCUUGCCUCUCUUCUUUCCUCCUCUGCCCCCAGGGUUUAUUUUUUUGUUUAUUUAUUUUUAAUUCUGAGGACAUCACAAGGGUCGGGUCUCUCUCCCUGCUCUCCCUGCACUCUCCACUUUAGCAGCAUAAGAAAGAAUUAUGAGGCUGGCGUGGCUCGUACCCCGAGUGUGGGUGUAUGUCUUGUCGGCCUCUGUCCUCCCAGGUGGAGGGGAUAAUUCAUGCAUGGGUGACAGCCAGUUUAAAAGCAGUCCCUGGGAAGCCUCAAGAAAAAGCGCAGACUUCAUAAACUCCCAGCAUUGCUUCAUCUGAUCCAUUUCCUUCCUAGCUUUCUUCCCCUGAUGCUAAACUGCAGUCAUCGUCAGCAUUGAGCAAAGUCUCGGCAGCCUAAUGUACAGAGCAACUCUGUUAAUUAAAACGCUCCUGCCGGGGCUGGGGGUUUAGCUCAGUGGUAGAGCGCUUACCUAGGAAGCGCAAGGCCCUGGGUUCGGUCCCCAGCUCCGAAAAAAAGAACCAAAAAAAACAAAACAAAAAAAAAAACCAAAAAAACGCUCCUGCCAUGCUGGUUUCCCAGGGCUCAGCAAAUGUGAGCACACAGCCAAAAUCAGACUUCAGGCCGACUCUGAACCAGCCAAGCAGGAUGGGGGCCCUGCCCACCAGAGAACCAACUGUCCUAGAGCUACCUCGGUCGGUCCUUCCGAGGGUGCACGAGGGUGGCGUCCCCUGAGACCUUACUCGCUUCGAUUGGGCUCCACCCCUUGAAUGUCUCAGCUCCUCACACCACCACUGAGAUACUCACACUGAGACCACGUGUCCAGCAACCAAGUCCCACCCCCAAGCAUAGUGUUUUACCCCAUUCUGAAGAGUUAAAGAUUCCUCAGCUCCAUGAUCUCACUCAUAUACAAUGGGAAGUCCCAAAUUUUAAGGGGUACCUUGGAGCCGAGCCCAUAAUUUCAAAAUAAAAAAUGAGUAGCAUGGGGCAGGACAGAUGACUCGGUAGUUAAGAGUGUGUCCCGUUCUUGCAGAGGGCCCCAGGUCACUUCUCUAGAGGCAUAGCUGGUUCAUGAGAUCCUGUAACCCCAGUGGAUUUCAGCGCCCUCUCCUGGCCUCUGGAGACCCUGCACUCAUGUGUACAUACUGUGCUCCCGAC